rnacentral:lncRNA from 1 species
UGGGUACAAGAUCUACCCGGGACACGGGCGGCGCUACGCCAGGACCGAUGGGAAGGUUUUCCAGUUUCUUAAUGCCAAAUGUGAGUCCGCAUUCCUUUCCAAAAGGAACCCUCGGCAAAUUAACUGGACUGUCCUCUACAGAAGAAAACACAAGAAAGGACAGUCGAAAUUCAAAAGAAAAGAACCCGCCGUGCAGUCAAGUUCCAGCGGGCCAUCACAGGCGCUUCUCUGGCUGAUAUAAUGGCCAAGAGGAAUCAGAAACCAGAAGUUAGGAAAGCUCAGCGAGAACAGGCUAUCAGGGCUGCCAAGGAAGCAAAAAAGGCUAAGCAGGCAUCAAAGAAGACAGCAAUGGCUGCUGCCAAGGUAACUAUUGGGGAUCUUCUUGGGUUUUUUAAAAUAGGAAAUUUUAUCCUUCAGGCAAGAGUUACUUAGCAAAGUGCAGGUUCAAGUUUCUAUUGGGAAUGGUUGUAGCUUAAUUUCUAGAUAGGAUGGUUGUACCUCUGGUUUCUAGUGAGCUUUAAUUUUAGAUGUGUUAGAAAAGGAAAGCCAUCUUUGCCUCUUUGUUUUGGGUGAGUGGGUUUCUGGGAUGAGCUGUUACUGUAACUCCGUGGUUUGGAGCUGUCAGCUAGGCUUAAGAACAACCCUGCUGCCUAGCUAGGAUUUUGACUGCUUCCCUAUGCUCGGCUUGGCGUUUGUGGUUUUAAGUUUUGUUUUGAAGUAAUUUAUACUGAGUAAGGUUACAACACUGAGUUUACCCAGCUUUUUCUAGUAAAGAAUUUAAAGCCAGAGCUAGGUGGUGUGGUGACUCAUACGAGCAUCGGGAGGCUGAGGAAGGCAGAUCUCUGGGAAGCCAGCCAGGGCGACUCAGACACCUGGUUUCAAAAAACUUUUCUUUAAAGCUAGAGAGUUAAUUUCAGUUUUUCAUUUUUAGGUGGGCAAUGACUGCUAGAAAGGCAGUUUGUACUGGCCCUAGUUUGGUCCUGAGGACUAUAAGGUGAAAGGAAAGAACACCUGUAGCACUCUAGCCCUGAACCUGCAAGUGUAAUAAAAAUUAAUAAAAAAAAAAGUUCUGGGCCAUCCAGCUGGCGCAGCAGGUAAAGAAAGGCACCUGUUGCAAAGCCUGCGAUCGUGAGCUUAGUCUUUGAGAACCACGUGGCAGGAGGAGCGCUGACUCCAACAAGCUGUCUAUGAUCUCUACAGUGUGCUGUGGUGUGCCGUGCCCAAAAUAAAAAUACACCAUUCUUGAAUGGCUGCACCAAGCAGUGUGGGCCUCCAGUCCCAGCCCUGACACAGGGUCAAAGCUAGCCUGGGUAUCCUUCAGAAACCCCAAACUUUGUUCAUUGUGCCUUACUGUCCAAUCUACAACAGUAUCUGUUAUAUGGUGGAAGUGAAUUUUAAAAAGGAGGUACUUUGAAAUUGAUAAUGAAGUUAAGACACUAAGGUAUUAAAGAAUGCGAACAGUAAGGGCAAAGCAGUAGUUCCAUUGAAUAAUGUGAUGUUAUUUUUUUACAGGCUCCCACAAAGGCAGCCCCUAAACAAAAGAUUGUGAAGCCUGUGAAGGUCUCUGCUCCCAGAGUUGGUGGGAAACGCUAAUUUAGUAGAUGAGAGUUUAAAAAUAAAGAUUUGUCUCUAGGU